CACUGGAUAGCUCAGUUGGGUAGAGCAGCGGAUUCACCUCCGUGAGUCGCGGGUUCGAAUCCCGCUCCACCAU
rnacentral:tRNA from 1 species